rnacentral:rRNA from 1 species
CCUACGGGCGGCAGCAGUGAGGAAUAUUGGUCAAUGGCCGGAAGGCUGAACCAGCCAAGCCGCGUGAAGGACGAAGGUGCCAAGCAUUGUAAACUUCUUUUGUCAAGGGACAAAAUCAGGCUCGAGAGCCUGACCGAGGGUACUUGAAGAAAAAGCACCGGCUAACUCCGUGCCAGCAGCCGCGGUAAUACGUAGGGGGCAAGCGUUAUCCGGAUUUACUGGGGGGAAAGGGGGCGCAGACGGGGAUGAAAGCCAGGAGGGAAAGCCCGGGGCCCAACCCCGGGACUGCUCUUGGAACUGCGUGGCUGGAGUGCAGGAGGGGCAGGCGGAAUGCCUGGUGUAGCGGUGAAAUGCGUAGAUAUCAGGAGGAACACCGGUGGCGAAGGCGGCCUGCUGGACUGCAACUGACGUUGAGGCCCGAAAGCGUGGGGAGCAAACAGGAUUAGAUACCCCAGUAGUC